rnacentral:rRNA from 1 species
UACAUGGGGUGCAACCGUUGCUCGGAAUUAUUGGGCGUAAAGCGCGCGUAGGCGGUUACUUAAGUCGGAUGUGAAAGCCCUCGGCUUAACUGAGGAAGUGCACCCGAAACUGAGUAGCUGGAGUACGAAAGAGGGUCGCGGAAUUCCCGGUGUAGAGGUGAAAUUCGUAGAUAUCGGGAGGAACACCGGUGGCGAAGGCGGCGACCUGGGUCGAGACUGACGCUGAGGCGCGAAAGCGUGGGGAGCAAACAGG